rnacentral:rRNA from 1 species
GUUUGAUCCUGGCUCAGAUUGAACGCUGGCGGCAUGCCUUACACAUGCAAGUCGAACGGCAGCACGGACUUCGGUCUGGUGGCGAGUGGCGAACGGGUGAGUAAUAUAUCGGAACGUACCCAGUAGUGGGGGAUAACUAUCCGAAAGGAUAGCUAAUACCGCAUACGAUCUAAGGAUGAAAGCAGGGGAUCUUCGGACCUCGUGCUAUUGGAGCGGCCGAUAUCUGAUUAGCUAGUUGGUGAGGUAAAAGCUCACCAAGGCGACGAUCAGUAGCUGGUCUGAGAGGACGACCAGCCACACUGGAACUGAGACACGGUCCAGACUCCUACGGGAGGCAGCAGUGGGGAAUUUUGGACAAUGCAGCGCAAGCCUGAUCCAGCAAUGCCGCGUGAGUGAAGAAGGCCUUCGGGUUGUAAAGCUCUUUUGUCAGGGAAGAAAAGGUGCGCUCUAACAUAGCGUACUGAUGACGGUACCUGAAGAAUAAGCACCGGCUAACUACGUGCCAGCAGCCGCGGUAAUACGUAGGGUGCAAGCGUUAAUCGGAAUUACUGGGCGUAAAGCGUGCGCAGGCGGUUUUAUAAGUCUGAUGUGAAAUCCCCGGGCUCAACCUGGGAACUGCAUUGGAGACUGUAAGGCUAGAGUGUGUCAGAGGGGGGUAGAAUUCCACGUGUAGCAGUGAAAUGCGUAGAUAUGUGGAGGAAUACCGAUGGCGAAAGCAGCCCCCUGGGAUAACACUGACGCUCAUGCACGAAAGCGUGGGGAGCAAACAGGAUUAGAUACCCUGGUAGUCCACGCCCUAAACGAUGUCUACUAGGUGUCGGGACUUAAUUGUCUUGGUAACGCAGCUAACGCGUGAAGUAGACCGCCUGGGGAGUACGGUCGCA